AAACUCCUGUUGCCUCCCACUUUUUCUCUCAUCAUCACACUACAUAUCUAAGCCACAUAUAAGAUAUCACAAACUAAUUUGCUCAUAAACUCCCUUUAUUACAGCCCCUGUUGCUCUUUGUUCACCUGUCUCCCUCAAGCACCAUACCAGAAGCCCCCCCCCCGUACUGACACAGGAGGAAAAGAAAGAGAAAAAGCCUGUAGAAACUGAUAAAUAAAAAAGAACCAUCAGCUCUUUCUUGCCCUUGCAAAUGACAGAGCAUCUUCUUCCUGACCUGUCCCAUCCACUCUUAAACUUUCCCACCAGCAUUAAUUUCUAUUGCUAUCUUGAGUUACAGGUAUUUUUUUAGUAGAAGCAAGGUAAGGCAGGCUUAGCAUCAAGAGACCCUCAGAAAUCUAUAAGAAUAUUUUUGGUGAGGGCAUAAUUGAUUUCUAGGGGGAUGUUUAUGAUGUAUGCAUUAUCACACUCUCAGAACUUCAUUCUCCACCUAUUUAGGAUUCCCACACUGGAUUUUACAACCUGCCUUCACAUAUGAGAUGUUGAAGCUUUCAAUGAGGUCACGCCAGACACUGACAAGCACUGAUGGGAUGUCAGUACGAAUUGUUAUUUUGAUGAUUCCUUGCCCCCAUACUUCUGAAAGGGAAAGCAACUGUAAACACAAGGGAGACUGACCUCAGUGAUUUCCUCUGUUCAGACAGGAGCACAAUGCGCUCAAACACCAAGACAAGGAGAAGUGGACUGUUUAGAAUUCCUCCAGCUGUAAUCUAUAGUAAAAACAAAUAAACAAAUACGUGACUA